rnacentral:rRNA from 1 species
GACGAACGCUGGCGGCGUGCUUAACACAUGCAAGUCGAGCGGUAAGGCCCUUUCGGGGGUACACGAGCGGCGAACGGGUGAGUAACACGUGGGUGACCUGCCCUUAGCUCUGGGAUAAGCCUGGGAAACUGGGUCUAAUACCGGAUAUGACUCCAUGACGCAUGUUGUGGGGUGGAAAGCCUUGUGCGGCUAGGGAUGGGCCCGCGGCCUAUCAGCUUGUUGGUGGGGUGAUGGCCUACCAAGGCGACGACGGUAGCCGGCCUGAGAGGGCCGACCGGCCACACUGGGGACGGAGACACGGCCCAGACUCCUACGGGAGGCAGCAGUGGGGAAUC